AGGGUUCGAUUCUGGCUCAGGAUGAACGCUAGCGGCAGGCCUAAUACAUGCAAGUCGAGGGGUAAGAGUCAGCUUGCUGACUACACGACCGGCGCACGGGUGCGUAACGCGUAUGCAACCUACCUUUAACAGAGGAAUAGCCCCGAGAAAUCGGGAUUAAUACCACAUAACAUUAUGAUAUGGCAUCAUAUUAUAAUUAAAACUCCGGUGGUUAAAGAUGGGCAUGCGUGACAUUAGCUAGUUGGUGAGGUAACUGCUCACCAAGGCUACGAUGUCUAGGGGUUCUGAGAGGAUGAUCCCCCACACUGGUACUGAGACACGGACCAGACUCCUACGGGAGGCAGCAGUAAGGAAUAUUGCGCAAUGGAGGCAACUCUGACGCAGCCAUGCCGCGUGCAGGAUUGAAGGCCUUAUGGGUCGUAAACUGCUUUUAUUUAGGAAUAAACUUUCGUACGUGUACGAAACUGAAGGUACUAAACGAAUAGGCACCGGCUAACUCCGUGCCAGCC
rnacentral:rRNA from 1 species